rnacentral:rRNA from 1 species
UACGUAGGGUGCGAGCGUUGUCCGGAAUUAUUGGGCGUAAAGAGCUUUGUAGGCGGUUUGUCGCGUCUGCCGUGAAAAUUCGAGGCUCAACCUCGAACUUGCGGUGGGUACGGGCAGACUAGAGUGUGGUAGGGGAGACUGGAAUUCCUGGUGUAGAGGUGAAAUUCGUAGAUAUUCGGAAGAACACCAGUGGCGAAGGCGACUUACUGGACACAUAUUGACGCUGAGGUGGCGAAAGCGUGGGGAGCAACAGG